AAUAGAAAUACCCACUGAUUUACUUAUAAUCUGACUUUAUCUGAACUUACCGGAGCUUCUCCUCACAGCAGCCUCUUUCCAGCACUGCGACCUGCUUUCAGACCUGUAUGUAGUUCUAACAGUUCUACAAGGACUACAAAAACCCGCUAUUUGGAGUUGGUUAAUUCUUUACAGAAGAUAACUAGUAGUGAUGAGCACAGCAGCUCUUUUAGAUGAACUGAAUCAUUAGAAUCUGUUCACUAAAAAGAUUCGUUCAACAGAUUCGUUCAUUUAAACGAUUAUUUUUGUGCUGUUCGUCUGUGCUGUACUAUUGUGAGGAGAAGCUCCGACGUCAAAUAGCCCAAAAAUCCACCUCCAGUCAGCGUGCAUGUUCAAAUGAAAAUUUAAGCAAAACUGCUGAUGUGUGCGAAUCCAAUCUUUACGGUAACAAUGUGAAGGAUGACGAUAUUUACGCCAACACCAUGGAGAUAGAAGAGAUUUCUACAGAGAAG